rnacentral:rRNA from 1 species
AUCGAACGCUGGCGGCAGGCUUAACACAUGCAAGUCGAGCGGUUGAAGGGAGCUUGCUCCUGGAGUCAGCGGCGCACGGGUGCGUAAUGCCUAGGAAUCUGCUUGGUAGUGGGGGAUAACGUCCGGAAACGGCCGCUACUACCGCAUACGUCCUGAGGGAGAAAGUGGGGGAUGUUCGGACCUCACGCUAUCAGAUGAGGCUAGGUCGGAUUAGCUAGUUGGUGGGGUAAAGGCCUACCAAGGCGACGAUCCGUAACUGGUCUGAGAGGAUGAUCAGUCACACUGUAACUGAGACACGGACCUGAGUCCUACGGUAGGCAGCGGUGGAGAAUAUUGGACAAUGGGCGAAAGCCUGAUACAGCGAUGCCGCGUGUGUGAGGAGAGUCUUCGGAUUGUAGAGCUCUUAACGUUGGGAGGAAGGGCAGUAAGUUAAGUCCUUGCUGUGUUGACGUUACCAGCAGAAUAAGCGCCGGCUAACUACGUG